rnacentral:rRNA from 1 species
CUUGCUGGGUUGAUUAGUGGCGAACGGGUGAGUAACACGUGAGUAACCUGCCCCUGACUCUGGGAUAAGCGUUGGAAACGACGUCUAAUACUGGAUAUGACUACUGGCCGCAUGGUCUGGUGGUGGAAAGAUUUUUUGGUUGGGGAUGGACUCGCGGCCUAUCAGCUUGUUGGUGAGGUAAUGGCUCACCAAGGCGACGACGGGUAGCCGGCCUGAGAGGGUGACCGGCCACACUGGGACUGAGACACGGCCCAGACUCCUACGGGAGGCAGCAGUGGGGAAUAUUGCACAAUGGGCGAAAGCCUGAUGCAGCAACGCCGCGUGAGGGAUGACGGCCUUCGGGUUGUAAACCUCUUUUAGUAGGGAAGAAGCGAAAGUGACGGUACCUGCAGAAAAAGCACCGGCUAACUACGUGCCAGCAGCCGCGGUAAUACGUAGGGUGCAAGCGUUGUCCGGAAUUAUUGGGCGUAAAGAGCUCGUAGGCGGUUUGUCGCGUCUGCUGUGAAAUCCCGAGGCUCAACCUCGGGCUUGCAGUGGGUACGGGCAGACUAGAGUGCGGUAGGGGAGAUUGGAAUUCCUGGUGUAGCGGUGGAAUGCGCAGAUAUCAGGAGGAACACCGAUGGCGAAGGCAGAUCUCUGGGCCGUAACUGACGCUGAGGAGCGAAAGCAUGGGGAGCGAACAGGAUUAGAUACCCUGGUAGUCCAUGCCGUAAACGUUGGGCGCUAGAUGUAGGGACCUUUCCACGGUUUCUGUGUCGUAGCUAACGCAUUAAGCGCCCCGCCUGGGGGAGUACGGCCGCCAAGGCUAAAACUCAAAGGGAAUUGACGGGGGGCCCGCACAAGCGGGCGGAGCAUGCCGGAUUAAAUUCGAUGCAACGCCGAAGAACCUUUACC